UUUUAGUUCCACUCCCUCCUUGACUGUGAAUAGGAAUGUGAUUGAGAUUCCCACCAGUCUUCAAAGCCGACUCACCUUUAUAGCAAAUGCCAAGGGUUUGAAAACUCGUUGGGGAUGGAAGCUCGCAUGCAGGAACAGAGGAGGCUUUUUAAGGAAAGAAGCCAAGCCCCCGGGGCUGUCAGCAGGGUUGAGCCACAGUCUGCAUUCUGACUUGCCGCCUCUGAUGGGAAUGCUAUAAUGCCUUCCACAUGGUCAUCCCUUCCUCCUGCUCCACCGUGCAGUGCUGCUGGCUCCUUGGAUCUUCAAAGAUGAGCUACUGCUACCCAUUAGCAUCGUAGCAGCACUCCUCCUCAUCUUCUCAACCUUUCUCUCUCAUGAGUGAUCGCAGCCAGCUGGGAAGCCCCACACCUAGAGGUGAGGGAUACAUUGCACCAGGCAGUAACUCUGAGCCAGUUAGGGGUACAGCCAAGAAGUGUGUUCUCAUUGCAGUGGUGGCUGCCUCAGUAAUACACCUAAGUCCUCCAGGCCCCUCAUCUGUAGGUAAAGAAUGGACCCCUUGGCCUGUGAUCAUAAAAUGGCAAGCACAGGAACUUUUGUGUGCCUGGAAAGACACCGAUGUCAGCCCCAGAGGGACAGCGGCAUCCUCUGUGGACCAGAAUGUAGACAUGGUAUAACAGUGACCAAUGGGAUAGGAACCCAAGGUGAACUUGAAUUAUGUUGAAUGAACACAGUUAGUCUCCUUUUGGCAUCUGAGCUUCUUAAUAAAGAAAAAAUAGGAA